AUUGAACGCUGGCGGCAGGCUUAACACAUGCAAGUCGAACGAGUGGCGGACGGGUGAGUAAUGCCUGGGAAACUGGCUGAUGGAGGGGGAUAACUACGGGAAACGGUAGCUAAUACCGCAUACCAUAAGAUGAGCCCAGAUGGGAUUAGUUAGUUGGUGGGGUAAAGGCUCACCUAGGCGACGAUCCCUAGCUGGUCUGAGAGGAUGACCAGCCACCCUGGGACUGAGACACGGUCCAGACUCCUACGGGAGGCAGCAGUGGGGAAUAUUGCGCAAGGGGGGCAAGCCUGAUGCAGCCAUGCCGCGUGUGUGAAGAAGGCCUUCGGGUUGUAAAGCACUUUCAGCGAGGAGGCGUUAAUCGCAGAAGAAGCACCGGCUAACUCCGUGCCAGCAGCCGCGGUAAUAC
rnacentral:rRNA from 1 species